rnacentral:rRNA from 1 species
UUGGAGGGCAAGUCUGGUGCCAGCAGCCGCGGUAAUUCCAGCUCCAAUAGCGUAUAUUAAAGUUGUUGCAGUUAAAAAGCUCGUAGUUGAAUUUCGGGGUUCUACCGUUGGUCGGGCUUUGUCUGUACUGGUGUGUAGAAUUUCUACCUUCUGGGGAACCAUCAUGCUAUUAAUUUAGCGUGGUGGGAAACCAGGACCUUUACCUUGAAAAAAUUAGUGUGUUCAAAGCAGGCUUAUGUCUGAAUACAUUAGCGUGGAAUAAUAGAAUAGGACGGUGGUCCUGUUUUGUUGGUUUCUGAAUCACCGUAAUGAUUAAUAGGGAUAGUUGGGGGCAUUAGUAUUCAAUUGUCAGAGGUGAAAUUCUUGGAUCUAUUGAAGACUAACUUCUGCGAAAGCAUUUGCCAAGGAUGUUUUCAUUAAUCAUGAACGAAAGUUAGGGGAUCGAAGACGAUCAGAUACCGUCGUAGUCUUAACCAUAAACUAUGCCGAUUAGGGAUCGGACGAUGUUAAUUUUUCUUGACUCGUUCGGCGCCUUACGGGAAAC